GACGAACGCUGGCGGCGUGCUUAACACAUGCAAGUCGAGCGGUAAGGCCCUUUCGGGGGUACACGAGCGGCGAACGGGUGAGUAACACGUGGGUGACCUGCCCUCAGCUCUGGGAUAAGCCCGGGAAACUGGGUCUAAUACUGGAUAUGACUCCAUGACGCAUGUUGUGGGGUGGAAAGCCUUGUGCGGCUGAGGAUGGGCCCGCGGCCUAUCAGCUUGUUGGUGGGGNGAUGGCCUACCAAGGCGACGACGGGUAGCCGGCCUGAGAGGGCGACCGGCCACACUGGGACUGAGACACGGCCCAGACUCCUACGGGAGGGCAGCAGUGGGGAAUCUUGCGCAAUGGGCGAAAGCCUGACGCAGCGACGCCGCGUGAGGGAUGACGGCCUGGUGUAACGUACUUCUA
rnacentral:rRNA from 1 species